GAUGAACGCUGGCGGCGUGCCUAAUACAUGCAAGUCGAGCGAACAGACGAGGAGCUUGCUCCUCUGACGUUAGCGGCGGACGGGUGAGUAACACGUGGAUAACCUACCUAUAAGACUGGGAUAACUUCGGGAAACCGGAGCUAAUACCGGAUAACAUGUUGAACCGCAUGGUUCAACAGUGAAAGACGGUUUUGCUGUCACUUAUAGAUGGAUCCGCGUCGCAUUAGCUAGUUGGUAAGGUAACGGCUUACCAAGGCAACGAUGCGUAGCCGACCUGAGAGGGUGAUCGGCCACACUGGAACUGAGACACGGUCCAGACUCCUACGGGAGGCAGCAGUAGGGAAUCUUCCGCAAUGGGCGAAAGCCUGACGGAGCAACGCCGCGUGAGUGAAGAAGGUCUUCGGAUCGUAAAACUCUGUUAUUAGGGAAGAACAAAUGUGUAAGUAACUAUGCACGUCUUGACGGUACCUAACCAGAAAGCCACGGCUAACUACGUG
rnacentral:rRNA from 1 species